AUAUUGGACAAUGGGCGAAAGCCUGAUCCAGCAAUGCCGCGUGAGUGAUGAAGGCCUUAGGGUUGUAAAGCACUUUAAGUGGGGAAAAAGGCUCGCUGGCUAAUAUCCAGCGGGAUUGAUACUACCCACAGAAUAAGCACCGGCUAACUCUGUGCCAGCAGCCGCGGUAAUACAGAGGGUGCAAGCGUUAAUCGGAAUUACUGGGCGUAAAGCGCGCGUAGGCGGCUGCUUAAGUCGGAUGUGAAAUCCCCGGGCUCAACCUGGGAACUGCACUCGAUACUGGGCGGCUAGAGUAUGAGAGAGGGAGGUAGAAUUCCACGUGUAGCGGUGAAAUGCGUAGAUAUGUGGAGGAAUACCGGUGGCGAAGGCGGCCUCCUGGCUCAAUACUGACGCUGAGGUGCGAAAGCGUGGGGAGCAAACAGG
rnacentral:rRNA from 1 species